rnacentral:lncRNA from 10 species
CCUCAUAUUCCUGGGAUGGAAGGUGAAGUCUUGCCAAAGAAUAUUCAGAGAGCAGCUGCUAGUUUAGUAUCCAGAGAAGAAAGCAAAAAUGAUAAUGCUGAUAAAACAGACAGAACUACAGAACCCGAACAGUCUCAUUCCAAUACAAGCACUCUCACGGAGCGAGAACCUAGCUCAUCUAGUCUCUGUAGUAUUGAUGAAGAACAUCUCACAGACAUUGAAAUAGUUCGCAGAGUUUUUUCUUCUAAAAGGAGUAAUGUAAACUUUGUGACAGAGAUAUUUCGUCAGGUAACAUACCUCUCAGUAUUUUUAAUUUAUAAGGAAGGCUUUUAUCUUUAAUAUUAAACAUACUGAUUUUUAGCUGGGAACAGUGGUGUGUACCUUUAGUUGUAGUUGUUCAGGAGGCUGAGGUGGGAGAAUCGCUUGAGCCCAGGAGUUUGAGGCCACUUUGGACAACAUGGAGAGACCGCAUC